rnacentral:rRNA from 1 species
AUGGCGCCACCACCACCCAAGAAUCCUAUCUUGUCCACAUACCACCUCCGCUUCCUCCUCCUUGCGUCUGCCGCCACCUUCUCCGCCGCCUUUUCCUCCCACUCCUACUCCUCCGCCUCCCCCUCCCUGGCACCCGCUGUUUCCUCCCACUCCUACUCCUCCGCCUGCCCCUCUCUGCCACCCGCUGCCGACCGCCACACCGACGCCGACGACGCCCUUUCACUCACCCGCUCAUUCCAGAUAGAGAACGGCCACUUCUCCGCCGCCACGGACAGCCUCUUCUCCGUCGACGGUCACCUCCACGGCAGCUAUCGCUCCUUCUCCCUUUACCCCCGCCAUGUCCUGCGCACCACCGACCCGACUCUCGUCCACCUCAUCGCCGUCAUCAUCCUCAUCGGCCCCCGGAGCGGUGAUUACGCCGUCGUCGAGGCCGCCGAGUCCGUCUCCUUCGACCUCGACGGUUACUACUCCUUCGCCUCGCUCCAACUCUGCAUGGCAGGGGCGGGGGCAGAGCGCGCUGCCAACGGCCGUCCAAAGUACUACGAGGCCGUCGCCCUCAGCCUCCGCAUCCCUAGCCCUUUCAGCCUCACCGAUCCCUUCGUGACCGGCAGCCUAGAUGGAUCCUCCGACUUCGAGCCCAUCCAGCUGCUCGCGUACGCGGACGGCCACGGCCACGACUACAAGUACCGCGAGCGCUCCCCUUGCGACCCACCGGUGCAGCUAGCCAGGGGCUCGCUCCGGGCGCUCGGCGGCAGCUACGCGUGCGCCUACUUGAAAGAGCGGCUCGUGACCUCGUACAGGCUGCUGGAUCACGAGGGCGGCUCCCCGGCCAAGCUUCCCUGGAUGCACGUCAGCCAGAUGCAGUGCAACGAGGACGGCGCCCUGCGCGCCUACAUGGUGGUCUCCAACGACACCGGGUCCGUGAGGCGUGAGCACCGUCAGUUCUACCACCUCCUGGCCGAUGAGGAGGCGCUCGUGGCCGACGGGCACUGGGACCCGGCUCAGGACAUGUUCUGCCUUAGAGCGUGCUGGGUGGCGCCGUCAACCCUGGCGGUGCGCGAGUGCGGGAUCGGGAUGAGCUUCUGGUUUCCGGCCACAUGGACGGUCCAUGAGCGGAGCGUCGUGGCCGGCGUGCUCUGGAACUCGACUCAGGGGAGGACCAGCAGCCUCGACGCCGGAGCAAUCUCAGGUGUGAUGUCGGCCUUCAGCAUGGACGACCACAGAAGAAACAUCUCCGACGUGCAGUACAAGUACAACGACACGAUGCUUGAGGUGGCCAAGAAACACUAUCUGAAGAUCAGCAAGGAGGAGAAGAUCAAGGGGUCCUUCCCAGUCCCGGGUAAACAUACCACUUACCAUGACUUGAGCCUCCGGUUCUGGAUGUUCGGGGCGAACAUUAACGCGGUUACCGUGAGGGGGGACGCCUACCCAGUCACGAUCGGCUCGGUGAUGACAGGAGAGGAAAUGCUCAUGACCACCCAGGUCGACACGAAGCACCUGCACGAUCCGCUGAACGUCAGCUACGACAUACACUAUUAUGCUCCACUGGGCAAUUCCUACUCGUAUAGUAGCCAGAAGGAAGAGCGAAGAAUCUCGGCCGAGGGCGUUUACGAUCCCAAGAAGGGCGUCCUGUGCAUGGUCGGCUGCGAACAGCGCGACGGCUCCAUGGACUGUCAGAUGCUGAUCACCGUGCAGUUCACCUCCCUGGAGGACAGGGCGGGGGGACUCGGUGGCGGCGGCGGAGCAAUCAGCAGCCUCAGGGACAGGUCCGACCGUCUUUUCUUCGAGAGGAAAAACAUCACUCUGUACGGGAUGUACGCAGAACAAGUGCCCGAGGCGAUAUCGAGGAUGGACUUGGAGAGCAUCAUGGUGGUGGCCUCCGUGACGCUGUCCUGCGUCUUCACCGCCCUGCAGAUCCUCCACGUCAAGAAGAACCCCGAGGCCGCUGCGGCAACGUCCAUCACCAUGCUCACCAUCCUCACCUUGGGGCACCUCACCCCUCUCGUGCUCAAUUUUGAGGUCAUUUUCCCUAGCAGGAGGAGCCAGUACGACCUGUACUCCACGGACGGGUCACUUGAGCUGAAUCAAGUGAUGAUGAAGGUGCCUACGCUGAUCGCCUUCGUGCUGCAGCUACGCCUUCUUCAGCUGGUGGUGGCUGGCCAUCUGAGCUCGGCCAACCAGAGUGAACCAGCGACCUCCGUGUCAGAGAAGACCGUGCUGCAGAUAUGCCUGCCACUGUACCUACUCGGAGGAGUCCUGGCCACGGUCGUCCACAUGAUCAAUGUCCGCUCCGAGGAGAAGUCACUGGUUGUUCGCAUCGGCGGAGAGGCGGCCACGCUCUGGGACGAGCUCUUGUCGUAUGCAGGGCUGGUACUAGACGGCUUCCUGCUCCCUCAGGUCAUCCUGAACGCGUCCUUGUCAAGCUCCAGAGUUCGAGCGAUUUCGCCGUGGUUUUACAUGGGGGGCACCAUGAUCCGCGUGGUGCCUCACGUGUAUGAUGUGGUCAGAAUGCAGAUCUACGCGCCGAGUAUGAGGCCCUCUGACAUAUACGCGAGCCCUGGCGGCGACCUCUUUGGUGUAGCGUGGGAUGUACUUAUAUUCUGUGGAGCGGCGUUGUUGGCAUCGCUCUUGUUCUUGCAGCAACGGCUUGGAUCCAGCACCUUAUCGCUUCCUUGGCAGAGGAGAUCGGGCGGAUGUGAGAUGGUCUCUCACAUCUAA